GACGAACGCUGGCGGCGUGCUUAACACAUGCAAGUCGAACGGAGAGGCCUUUUCGGAGGUACUCGAGUGGCGAACGGGUGAGUAACACGUGGGUGAUCUGCCCUGCACUCUGGGAUAAGCCUGGGAAACUGGGUCUAAUACCGGAUAGGACCGCACUUUAGUGUGUGUGGUGGAAAGUUUUUUCGGUGUAGGAUGAGCCCGCGGCCUAUCAGCUUGUUGGUGGGGUAAUGGCCUACCAAGGCGGCGACGGGUAGCCGGACUGAGAGGUUGGUCGGCCACAUUGGGACUGAGAUACGGCCCAGACUCCUACGGGAGGCAGCAGUGGGGAAUAUUGCACAAUGGGCGCAAGCCGGAUGCAGCGACGCCGCGUGGGGGAUGACGGCCUUCGGGUUGUAAACUCCUUUCGCCAGGGACGAAGCGUUUUGUGACGGUACCUGGAGAAGAAGCACCGGCUAACUACGUG
rnacentral:rRNA from 1 species